AAAUAAUCCAGAUACCAAAAGACAAAAACUGUAUGAUUCCACUUACAUGAGAUACUCACAGUAGUCAAGAAUCAUAGAGACAGAACGUAGAAUGGAGGUUGCCAGGGGUUGAGGGGGAGAAAGAA